ACAGUAAAUUAAUUCAGAGAGAACUUCAUAGAGAUAUUGGAUUCAUUUGAUUGGUUGUGUAUUCUAUAUUGUAAUUUAACAUUUAAAAAACUGUUCUGUUUUUAUUUUUCAGCCGUUCUUCAUCUUCGAGAGGAACUGGAGUCUGUGAGCCGCACCCUUAAAUCAGAAUGGAAGUGGAUCCUCAGCUCAGCAGGUAUGUGUCUCUUCAAUGGAUUCCUUUCACAGUGGAGGGGAAAAGAACAGCAAGGAGCCCCGUCUCACUCACUGUGUUACAUCUAUAUUUACAUUCUGCCUCAUUUAAACCUCUGUGCACUUCCAGCUCAGCUAACACCAGCCUCGUGUGCCUCCCAAAGGUAACAUUGAAAAUGAGAGGAGAAAGUGUGUGUAGUUAUAAUGCCUCAGAUUGUGAACUC